AAAAAGAAAAUACAUAACUAAGCUUAUAGGUGUAAAAGGGAUAUACUGAAGCACCAGAACUGAAGAAACCGUUGCUGUGUUGGUGCGCUGUUGGUGGUGACCGGGGAAGGUGGGUGGCGGGAGGCAGGACCCAGCCACGGGCUUCCAGGCCACCUGGAAAGGAAGCUCACUGCCUGAGAUGGACCAGAAAAGCACUGCCUUUUCCCUAAGAAGGGUUAGAGCAUCUGGUUGCUACCCUGAGUUAGGGCUCAGAGGGAGCCAUCAGCUCCAGGCUGCAGGAGGAAACAUCAUGUUGAAAAAUCUAGCCCACAAUCAGCUCUACUCACAAAGUUCAGAAGACGCCAACCUGGAAAUCCAAUGGAAAAACUAAUUCGGAGUCAGUAAACCCAGUAAGACUCCCCUGCAGCCCCAGGGGACCCCCAGAGGAGUUGACUCUUCAGGUUGGGGGAAUGGAGGCAAAACUGCAGAACAGUGGGAAAUGGGUGUCAGCAUUCCCCAGAGCCACUUGUCUAAAACAUUCCAUUUUCUUUAAAAAGCAACACAAAACGAAGUUCCCCGUGGUUCCAGAAGACUGCCCACAGACCUGGAUGAAAGUUUGUACACCCAAGAAGCUAAAAGUAAUGGAGACUGUUUAAUGGAGAUGGAACAGGAGACCCUGCUUUAUCCAAAUCACAGGAGCAAAGCCAUAUUGAGGUGUCCUAUGACCCAGUGUUUACAAACGGUUUCAGUGAAUUGAUAAAGACCCAAGUCUCUGGACCACUCAGCCCUCCAUCCAGCUCUACAGCACCUCACUUGAUCAGCAGAUUAGUGAAGAAAAGAAGCUAGAGCCAUCUGCUCUGGAAUGCUAGUUAUAAUCGUCUUCAGGAAGAAAUAGGAAGCUCUGAAUAUAUGUACAAGUCAUCCCAGGUAAUGGUGAAAACAUCCAGAAGGGCCCUUCUAAGAGUUGUCGCCAUUGGCUAAUCUUCCUUAACCAUGGCACUAAUUGAUAUGUUAGGCCUGAUCAGUCUUUGUGGAAGGUGGGCAUGUGGGCCACCUUGUGCGUUGUAGGAUAUUUAGUAGUAUCUCUGGCCUCUGCCCACAAGGUCGCCAGAAGUAACCCCAGUUUGCGACAAUCAAAAGUCUACAGAUCCUGUGAGUCAGAGCCUCGGGGAACCAGUGCCCUGUCUCUGGGAUCAGCCGCUAAGCUCAGCUCCCACAGCCACCUCAUCUUUUUCUGUCCCGAAGACAGAGGGGGCCCAAGCCUGGGUGAGGAGGCCAGCCAUCUCUACCUGCUGGGAGUGAAUUCACCCAUGUCAUCUGUGAGACUCAACAGCAAGUGAGAACAAGAGAUAGCUCCAGUUGUGUGUACCCCGGAUCAACUGUGUAUUCCCUUUUUGUGAUUCUCUGAAAGCACACGCUGAGUUGUAUACAGCAGUAAAGUCAUUUCCAGAGUUCUUCCCUCUCACAGUCCCUCCAGGGCCAACAGGAGUUCCAUUAAUCAUUGACAGCCUGGAGAGAAAGUCAAGCCAUAUGUGCGGUUCCAGAUUCCUACUGCUCAGCCCUCCCCCAGCCUCGGAAGAUGAAAGCCUCGGCGUUUGACUAGGCAAGUGAUAAAACAUUUUCUCAUGUAAACACUGUGCCUAGGGCCACAGUCUCUAUGCUUUAGACAUCACGAGCAAUAUUUAAACUGCCAAGAAAGAAAUCAGGCCAGAAUAGGCUAAUCUUCCUCAACCAUGGCACUAAUUGAUAUGUUAGGCCUGAUCAGUCUUUGUGGAAGGUGGGCAUGUGGGCCACCUUGUGCGUUGUAGGAUAUUUAGCAGCAUCUCUGGCCUCUGCCCACAAGGUCGCCAGAAGUAACCCCAGUUGUGACAAAAGUCUACAGAUACUGUCAGGUGUCCUCGAGGGAAGGGAGCUAAGUCACCCCUAGUUUAGAACUGCUGGAACAGGCUAGUUUGUAAAGCUUAGCCAGUCCCACCCCCGUAGACCUAGCAUUAUUGCUUUAGACUUAAAUCUGCAUGAAUGUUCGCUAAAGCAAGUCAGUCAUGAGGCCCAAUUCUAAAGACAAACGCUCGUCUGUCCUGCUAAGUGUAUCAUUCUCUUUUUCUUUUUCUUUCUUUCUUUUUUUUUUUUGUAUCAUUCUCUUUUUGGCCUAAGUCUCCAGAGCCUUAAAAUUUCAUAGUUAGAAAAUUUGCUUUGCAGGCAGCUUCUUUAUUCUCAUAAAAAUUAAGUUGUAAGAGCAGAAAAUAUGACGUCCAAUUUUGUGUUUAAGCAGGAACUGCAACAUGGACAGCUGGGCCUCAGUUCGUGGCGUGGCUGAGUAAUUUGUUGGUUGUUUCUUUGAGGUCCUUGCUUAGGGUCCAGAGAACCUUUAUGGCACAUUUCUUUUGGAACUAUACCACAUUUACCUUAUGUUUCUGAAGUGGUAUGUGGCUGCCAAGAAUCCUCAGGACAGUGACUAAAAUGGCUGUUUGGUAUUCAGUGGAUUUCUUCUCAUUUUAUAAGGGAGGAUAGGUUCCAACAUUUUACUUGUUCAUCUUCUGAAUUUUCAUUCUUAGAAGUGCCAGAUUUUUAUCCCCAGUGGUAAAACAGAAAGGAGGAAUAGAAUAGAAUUGCAAGUCCAAUUCCUGUUGCAGGGCAUGUCAGCCACAACCCUGCAAGUCAGAAUUUGACUUCAUUGGAAAAUAAAAGUUGAAGACCAAAAGUAACAGGAACCAUGAGAAAAGUACCAUUUGCCAAAAGCAAUGCUUGUCUAGUUCAACAAAUUUUAUACCAACAAAUUAAAGCAUCUUAGAAAAAUUUACCUUGCAGACUGUAGAACUUCACAGUUAAAAGAAUUUACAUUUUAAAUUACCUAGAUCCGAAUUCCUCCCUCCAAGGAAAUCCCUGUGACUUUAUCGUAAUGUAUAAGAAGAACUGAAAGGUGACCUGUUGUUGUUGUUUGUUUUUAUUAACUGCAUUAUAGGAGAGCUGGGUAAUCCAUUCCCCAGUAAUCCUUUCAAAGUGGCCUGACUGCCUUAAGGAGCUUUCCAGUUCUGCAGUCCUAUACUGUGACCUUAAUAGCCAGUUCAUGAUUCAUUGGAAGUAAUGCCCAAACACCACCCUUCUGGAAGAGAACUUCGGCUGCAUGUCAGUUCCAGGAGUGUGGCCUGCUUUGACCCUGUGUGGCUCUCCACACACACCACCCCCCAGCCCCUGAAGAAGCAUCUUCGAAAGACGGCGCCAUGCCAUGCUCACAAGCUCAGGCUGAUAGCGGCGAUGGUUCGGAGUUUUACACACUGUCUUUAAGAAGAGGUCGUGCACUAAAGCAAACAUUUUAGAUCAUUGCUUUAUUUGACUAUUUAUUCAACAGAGUUCAUUCCUUUCAAGGUGGAUCUUGUGAUCUUUUCCUCUUUCUGAAUAAAAAAGGUAAUGAAGAAAAAGCCUGUACUUUUGGAGACCUAGAAUCUUACUUAUGCUAAUAAGCUUUUGACUGCAGUUUUGUUUUAACGAUAUUUCCUGCUGGCAUCGCGGUGGCCACACGGAGCUCCCCACCCUCCAGUGAAGAUGGCUGUCCACAACCACCGCCGUUGAAACCGAAAGUAAGAGUUGAAAAAUGCACCUUUUACAAUAAAAAAGUAGAAACCAAUUCAAUUUCCUUUUUUUUUUUUUUUACGAAUAUAAAGUUUCUUGUAAA